rnacentral:misc_RNA from 1 species
AACUGAUACUACCUGCGGGAACCUGCGGAGGGAUCAUUACUGAAGUGAUUUGGGGAUGUUGCUGGCCCUCUCUCAAGGGGGGGCACUGUGCACUCCUCGAAACAAUUCACAAUUUCCAUCACACCCCUUGUGCACACCUUGUAGGCACCCAAACCCACCUCCGGGUGGUGGGGUCCUAUGUAUUCCUUCACCUCACACUCUGUUGAAUGGUGCCAUGGGACGCAUCUAAAGGAUUAUUUG